rnacentral:rRNA from 1 species
GAUGAACGCUAGCGAUAGGCCUAACACAUGCAAGUCGAGGGGCAUCACAUGAAGUAGCAAUACGGAUGGUGGCGACCGGCGCACGGGUGAGUAACACGUAUGCAACCUGCCUUCAACAAGGGGAUAACCCGUUGAAAGACGGACUAAUACCCUAUAACACAGGGGUCCCGCAUGGGAAUAUUUGUUAAAGGACAACCGGUUGAAGAUGGGCAUGCGUUCCAUUAGCUAGUUGGCGGGGUAACGGCCCACCAAGGCAACGAUGGAUAGGGGAACUGAGAGGUUUAUCCCCCACACUGGUACUGAGACACGGACCAGACUCCUACGGGAGGCAGCAGUGAGGAAUAUUGGUCAAUGGACGCAAGUCUGAACCAGCCACGUCGCGUGAAGGAAGACGGCCCUACGGGUUGUAAACUUCUUUUAUACGGGAAUAAAUGCCCCACGCGUGGGGUUUUGCAUGUACCGUAUGAAUAAGGAUCGGCUAACUCCGUGCCAGCAGCCGCGGUAA